GAAAGGAGAGAGAGAGAAAGAAAGAGGACUUUCCCUCUGCCAGGUGCCUUUAGUUUUCAAUUAGGAGAAUGUGGGUAAAAUAAAGCAAACAUUUUGGUUGUAAAUAUUGUUAGACAUGCGACUAGGUUACUGGAAGAAGUAAGUCAUCAGGCCACCUUCACCCAGCUGUAUUAAGGACAGGAUUAAUUACUAUCAUUUUUUACCUGGAUUUUCCUUAGAGUAGAAGAAUGGACAAGAGACACCUUUAGAGAGUCUUUCCAUACAGUUUCCACUUAUUUCACCCAUGGAAUCUCCAUAAACUUCAUUUUUCCCCUUCUAAAGCUUCCCAAAAUUCAGGAGGUAAGCUUGUAUUCAGACAACCAAAAAUACUGCAAAGUUUGCUUACAAGGAGUCCGAUGUCCCCAACGCCUAUCCCAUGUCUAGCAGGUGGUUCAAUUCACGUGGGCUGAACUGCACUGGACUUCUCUGCUGGCUGUCAGGUCUCGCUCAUCUUCUGGAGAGAAUAUUCUGCAACCCCCAGGCUCUUUAACAACACCACUGGUUCCUUAUAAUAGCAGAUUGGAAGAAGUUGUUAGCUUCUUUUCUCAGAACGGACAUGUGGAUUUGGGGCAAGGAAGAAAAGCAAAAGCAAAAGCCCAAACAUUCUGUAAGUAGUGGUUCUUGGCAACAUUACCUUACCUUGAUCUGGGAGAUGCUGAGCAGAGUCAAAGGGUUAUAAAACCCAUGUUGUCUUGAAUUCACAGAACACAGGAAUGGCGUUCGAAGAUCUGCAACUAUACUACUUGGAAAUGAUCCCCAGGCUAAAGUGACCAGGGAAGUGACCCAAAAAACAAAUUCUUCUUGACUUUUAAGGCAGGUGCAACUGUGGACAGCUGAGGUCCCCUUUGAAAUUAUCUUGCCAUCGUAGGAUGGGCUAGGAUGACUCAACUCUUUAAAUGCAUGUUAAAGACUGGCUACUGUAUUUACUACAUUCUGGCCUCAUUUUUUUUUGGUUAUGAUUUUGAAACUCAGAAUGAACAAUACCACGUGUGUGAUGUUUUGGUCGCAAACAUUAAAGACAGCGAAUAAUUAUAAGCAGCUGUGGAAGUCAACAUCCACUGUUAAACCCAUGAACCAUUCCAAAUUCCUCGGUGAGAUACUCUGAGAUAACAAAGAUUCCAGUGAGCAACUCAAUCAUGACAUCUUUAUUAUACCAUAGAUGAAUAUUUGUUAAAUAAAAAUAGGUACAGCAAGUGUACAAUAAGACCAGUAGUUCUCCUUCAGAACUCUACCCAUUUUUCAGAGGAAGGAAACACUUUUCCAGAAUACAAUGCUCAAGAAAUGUAAGCCAGAUCCCGCUUGUAUGAGGUAUCUUAAGUAGUCAGACUCUCAAAAACAGAAAGCAGAAUAAUGGUGCCAAGAGCUGGGGCAGGCAGGGGGAAGGGGAAAAGAGGAGUUGUUCGGUGGGUAUAGAACUUCAGAAUUACAAGAUGAGAAAGUUCCGGGGGUCUGUUUCACAACAUGCAUGGAGUUAACACUGCUGUACCAUAUGCUUAAAAAUGGUUAAGAUGGUACAUUUUACCUGAUGUGUUUUUUACCACAAUAAAAAAAAUAAGAUUGAAAUGGAUUAGGAAAGUAAGGGGUGUUGUAAAAAGUCAUUUAACAAGCAUUUGAUUUUAGACCAUUGGACCUGCAGAAAUACUUUGAUUUGUUAGAUUCAAGGUGAGGUGACAGAGCAAUGAAGUCUGCAGCAGUUAAAUGUCUGUUGAUGUCUCUUGAGUGACAUUGGAGAUAGCUGUGAGGAUGCCAACGAUGGAGGAAACUUAGAAAGUUUUUAGAUCCUGGGCCAGGCACGGUGGCUCACGCCUGUAAUCCUAGCAUUUUGGGAGGCUGAGGCAGGUGGACCACUUGAGGUCAGGAGUUUGAGACCAGCCUGGCCAACAUGGUGAAACCCCAUCUCUGCUAAAAAUACAAAAAAAUUAGCAGGGCAUGGUGACGUGUGCCUGUGGUCCCAGCUACUUGGGAGGCUGAGGUGGGAGAAUCGUUUGAACACUGUAGGCGGAGGUGCCACUGCACUCCAGCCUGGGUGACAGAGCGAGACUGUCCCAAAAACAAACAAACAAAAACAAAACAAAAAAACCCACAAAGUUUUUAGAUCCUAAAAUUUGUCAGCAGAAAUGGUUACAUAAGUCAUGGGCAAGUUUCCACCACAAACAUCACACUCCCAUAUUAUUCUAAUAGUAAUUAUAACCAAAUGUGACCCCUUCGUGACUGUAGUUGUAUAGAGUGUGGCACUAAUGAGGCAAAAUAGGAGACCCUGUUUGUCUGUCUAGUCUACAUUUCUACUACUCCUUGGGCAAAGAAUAGGGUUUUUUGGCUGCUGGUGGUGAUCAUAAUAUUUGAUUCUGCAUGUCAGUGAAAUCAUUGUCAUAAAACUCUCUGUGGGUAAACAAUGAUCUGCAUUCAGAUUAAAAUAGUUUUUAAGACUCUAGUUACUGAAAAUGAGUCUUCAUUUGUCUUUAAAAAGGUCAUGUCCUUCUUUUUUCUAUUUUUUUUUCAGUCAUUGAUUGCCACAAAAAUUCAAGCCCCAAUUUGUGUUUAAUUUUUUUGUUGCUGGGUGAAUGUUCCUGGGAACCAUCUUCCCAUUCAUGGAUUUCUUACUACUGGGAGCAGCCAUCUACAUAACAUGGUGGUCAGGGACUACAAGGGUGGGCCUUUCCAUCUGAUGAUUCUGAGUACAAGAAAGCUUUCAGAUCCAUUGUCAAGGGAGUGGAGCCUCGGGGCGGGAUACAAGACUGACUAUCAGGGUAUUGCACAGUGUCUAGGGACUGAGGCCAUUGCUAAUCCACUCCCCAUCUGACAUCUAGGAAAAGUACAAACUGUGAAGAUAGGCUACCAUGUUUAUCUGCCUCUGGCCGAUCCCAACGCUGUCUGUACACUGACUUGUGUUUUACUUAGACAAUGAUACCCAGAGAAGACUGACAGACAGUGAGUGUUAGAGUGUGGGUCAGCAGAGAUAGAGCAAAAGUCAAGCAGAAGAGUCUUGGAGAUGCAUCAAAAAACAGAUACAGAGAUAUUUGGAAUUGGGCCCAAAUAUACAGCAGCAGAGAUACCAACUAAAAUAAAAGAAAGAAAGACAGAGACAAGCAGAGUGACCAUGUCAGAGAGAAUAUGUACAUUUAGAAAAAGAAAGAUUGAACAAAAAAAGCAUAUAUCAGAAUCUGCAUUUGGAGGAGGUAAAAGAGCAGAAUGGUCAGGGAAUGAGAAAGAGAAACUGAGACUUACUAAUCUUCUGAGCCUGAGAAUAUCAGGAUGCAAAGCUGUGUUUUUCUCUGAUGAUGAAUACCUUCUUCCAGUGUCCUAGUAUUUCUCCAAAAAGAUCAUGCGGCUAGCACUGCUAUGCAAAGCUUAUUUGCUCAAAGAUUUUGAAGGAGUCCAGACCUCAUCAUUAUCAAAUGACAACUGUUAAAUACCCAUUUCAGAAUCAAAUUUAGCCCAAUAAAUCCUCACUCAUUCAAAGAUCAGACUUGUUGCAGCUUUUGCUUGCUGAGCUCAGCUGUAAACUUAGGAGAAGACAGAAAGAUCUCUGAGCUAAUGAGGAAUCCUUAUUAGGACCCAGACGCUCGACCCCUAGCAGAGGACUUCAUCUAUUAACUCUUAUUUAACAUAGAAUUAUAACAAACCUGGCUAUCGUAGUUUGUAGGCAAUGGCCAGC
rnacentral:lncRNA from 1 species